rnacentral:lncRNA from 12 species
AUGCUGUAUUCUUUCCCAGCUACUUUCGCAUUUUAUCCUCAUGACAAAUUUGUGAUGGCAUUAGGGCAAGUACUGUUUUAUCCAAGAAAAAAAAAAAAAAAAGACCCAGCAAGGUUCUUUGUCUUGGCUGAAUUCAAGGAGUUAAUAAGGAGUGAAAAUUGUACUCGGACCAGGAAUACUUGGCCAGGUACUGUAAUCAUUGCUCACAAUUCAAAGGAAAUAGAAGAAAAGAAUGGGACCUCAGACCUUAUACACUUUCAGGGGCCAGGAUAGGGGAAAUAUGAAAAUUUACCUCUCAGUGGGACAUUCUUGGAAAUGAGUUUCAUCCUACAGAUUGCAAGCUUCAGACUACUGUUCAGAGAAUGAAUGGCAUCCCAAUCCAUUGAAGGUAAGAUAUAUUUUUCUCCUUUACCUUGUAUAUUUCCUGUCUACCCUUUCUAAGAUAAGAUCAAGCUUUUGCCUUGGUACACUUUGGUAGGUAGGCAUGGAAUAAUCUUGUUCCUAGGAAUUUAGCCAUGGGGCCAAAAAUUUGUUUUACAAGUUUAAUGGAGAUGAGGCCAGUGAUAUGAUAGCGUAUAUCCUUUUCAGUAGGCCUGGACAAAGAUGUACACACAAGCUCUAGAGUUGAAAUAACAAUUUGGGAGGCACCAGGGAGGGACACCAUAGGACACAGCAGCUGGUGAAGAAACCCCAAUUAAAUGAGUGUCCUCUGAGCUGAGCAACAGAGAAAAUGGCUUUUGAACUUUGAUUUUUUAGUGCACAAGAAGAAUAUUCCAUCUAAAAAUGUAAUUUUCUCUGGUAACGUCAGAUUUAGAAAAUGUACAUAUUAGUUUUCAGCACGUUGUAUUAUUUGGAGAUAGUAUUUAUGCUGUCAUUGGGGUAUCACCUAUAAUCUUGGAUGAGUUAUAAUGGAUAAAAUUACCGAGCGUAAUCUGGAAAUGAGAAAUAGAAUAAGGUUGACUUUUUGUAUAGACCACAUAACUUUGAAUUAGUUAAUGCUUUGUUCUGACCCAUAUGAAAGUAUUUUGGGGGUGACCAUUGAGUGGCAAUUUCAUGAACUUCAGAAGAAUGUAUCAGGGCAUUGAACCUAGUCUGGCAUGGCAAUGUGAAAGACAGCCAAGAAGGCCAUUCACACUCCUAAUUGACCAGAUGCAUGGCUGUACAGUCUACUGACUAUGAUAGAAAAAAAAAAUUGUGGAAUCUUAGUAACAUUGCAUGAAACUACAUUGCUGUUUUGGGCCAGAAAGCAGGAUAUUUCAAUUUUCCAUCCAACUUGGGAAAUAGGAGCAAGUGUUAACCUGUACCUCACAUCCUUAUUUGCUCUCUUGUUCAGAUAAAGGAUGAAUAAUGAGUCUCUGCAUUUAUGGGCUCAUGGCUUUUUACUAGUUUAUAGAGUACUUUGCUUUAAAACUGGAAAAAAUGGCACCACUCAGCCGAAAAGGCAGUUGAUUUGUUUGGUUCUUCUAGUCCCCUGGAGAAAAAAGAAAGAUAGGGACUUUACCUGGAAGGGCCAGCUAAGUCUCUGCUUCCUCUGUUCUAAUGUCUUAGCCAGGAACUGUAAAUCAACCCAGGCCUGAAUAUUUUUGAUGUAAUCAGCUUGGGGUUAGGGAAAAAAUGGUCUUUCAUGUUGUUAAAGUCCAUCUUGUCGAAGGAUUACUCUGCACCUUAGUAGAAAAAUGAGCACCUAACUGGCCAUAAAUAAAGCUGAUCUUUUGAGUCCA